GUAUACAUACUACACACUAUCUAAUGUAUUAAAACAUACGUGUAAUGUAUACAUACUACACACUAUCUACUACGGAGUAUAAUAUUAGAAUUAUCUAGAAGACCCUCCAGAAUUCCUUCGCCCAUCUCUGGUCUAUUGUUCUCUAUACUUGCACAUCCAGAAAAUCCAUCGACACUCUUGUUGCAGUACAGAUCUGGAAAGCAUUCCUAUCUAAAGUUUAGCUAGCAGCGACGAUGAAUCAUCUUCGAAACCUGGAGUUAACAGGAUUUUUCAUUAAUUUGGGGAUGGUUGAUAUAUCAUAAUGGUUCAUAAAAAAA